rfam:Eubacterium sp. An11 An11_contig_34, whole genome shotgun sequence.
GUGGGCAUAGCUCAGCUGGAUAGAGCGUCUGGCUACGGACCAGAAGGUCGGGGGUUCGAAUCCUCUUGCCCACG